AGACUUUGAAUGGCUACCUACACAUUUGAUUGUUGUAGCUUCUGGAGUUGAUUGUGAAGGCAAUGCGUUAGAAAAUGGCACAAUGAUUCACAAAGACAAAGUUAUUAUGACUGGCAAAUGUGCUUUACUUCUACAAAGUUUGAAGGACUGUUGUGAAAAUAAUAAAUAAUGGUUUUAUAAAGAAUAAAUGCUAUUCAACAAUCAUUGUUAAAUAUAAAUAAAAAUUAUAA